rnacentral:rRNA from 1 species
UACAGAGGUCUCAAGCGUUGUUCGGAAUUACUGGGCGUAAAGCGCACGUAGGCGGGUCGUUAAGUCAGGGGUGAAAUCCCGGAGCUCAACUCCGGAACUGCCUUUGAUACUGGCGAUCUUGAGAUCGGAAGAGGUGAGUGGAAUUCCCAGUGUAGAGGUGAAAUUCGUAGAUAUUGGGAAGAACACCAGUGGCGAAGGCGGCUCACUGGUCCGAUACUGACGCUGAGGUGCGAAAGCGUGGGGAGCAAACAGG